rnacentral:rRNA from 1 species
UUUUAUGGAGAGUUUGAUCCUGGCUCAGGAUGAACGCUGGCGGCGUGCCUAAUACAUGCAAGUCGAGCGAACGGACGAGAAGCUUGCUUCUCUGAUGUUAGCGGCGGACGGGGGAGUAACACGUGGAUAACCUACCUAUAAGACUGGGAUAACUUCGGGAAACCGGAGCUAAUACCGGAUAAUAUUUUGAACCGCAUGGUUCAAAAGUGAAAGACGGUCUUGCUGUCACUUAUAGAUGGAUCCGCGCUGCAUUAGCUA